ensembl:snRNA U1 U1 spliceosomal RNA
AUACUUACCUGAGAAAGGUGAUACCAUGCUUGUAAUGGUGGUUUUCCCAGUGUGAGGCUUAUACAUAUACUCCAAAUGUACUGCUCUGCAAUCUCCCCAAAUAUGGGAAAUUUGCCUGCCUUAUUUGUAGCAGUGGGAAAGAUAACAUGACCAUGAACAUAGUUUUUCCAU